UACGUAGGGUGCAAGCGUUAAUCGGAAUUACUGGGCGUAAAGCGUGCGUAGACGGUUAUGUAAGUCGGGUGUGAAAGCCCCGGGCUCAACCUGGGAAUUGCAUUCGAGACUGCAUAGCUAGGGUGCGGAAGAGGGAAGCGGAAUUUCCGGUGUAGCGGUGAAAUGCGUAGAGAUCCGGAAGAACACCGGUGGCGAAGGCGGCCUGCUGGGCAGUUGCUGACACUGAGGCGCGACAGCGUGGGGAGCAAACAGG
rnacentral:rRNA from 1 species